rnacentral:lncRNA from 11 species
AGUGAAGAGCCAAGAAAGAGCCAAGUCGAGGAACUAUUUCUCUGUCUCUCAGCGCUUGAGAGGCUUCCUUCUCCUUCGGUGGAGCUGCUGGACUGGUUCCACGAGGUAAGCCCAGCCCCUGGCUUUCUCCUCCGCCGGCCUCGCCCUCUUCUCCCUCCUUCUGCUCAGGUUACAAGGGCGGCCCUUCCUCCUUGCCUCCCUUUCUUUCUUCCUUCUUUCCUUCCCAGCUCCAGCUUGGUUUCCCCCAGCGCUGGCUCCUUAUACCUGGCCUCCGCCCCACCUGAGCGAAACUGGGAGCGGCCUGGUCCCCGAGGCGGCGCUUGGGAGACUCACCUGCCGCCAUAUAUGGCCUUUCCUGAGAGAUGGCGCAGGUCAAGCCUUCAACCCUCAUCACAAGGAAAGAUGGAUUUUCUACAGGCUCCCUGCCCACUCUGUGGUGUGUCUCCUUCCUUUCAUCUGUUCUGAUUGUGAGAAGUGGACCAUGCCCAGAGGAACGCUUGAGUCCUGGCAUUGCUAACCUGCAGCUGAAGUAAGUGUUAAUUGUGUGAGUGAAUGGAUAUGUGUCAUGAUAAUCAUAGGCUGCCUGUGUGUCUGUAUGGCAUGCGGGUAUCAGUGCUCACAAUUCCCAAUUGGUG